ACGGGUGAGUAACGCGUGGGAAUCUACCCAUCUCUACGGAAUAACGCAUGGAAACGUGUGCUAAUACCGUAUACGUCCUUCGGGAGAAAGAUUUAUCGGAGAUGGAUGAGCCCGCGUUGGAUUAGCUAGUUGGUGGGGUAAAGGCCUACCAAGGCGACGAUCCAUAGCUGGUCUGAGAGGAUGAUCAGCCACACUGGGACUGAGACACGGCCCAGACUCCUACGGGAGGCAGCAGUGGGGAAUAUUGGACAAUGGCGCAAGCCUGAUCCAGCCAUGCCGCGUGAGUGAUGAAGGCCCUAGGGUUGUAAAGCUCUUUCACCGGUGAAGAUAAUGACGGUAACCGGAGAAGAAGCCCCGGCUAACUUCGUGCCAGCAGCCGCGGUAAUACGAAGGGGGCUAGCGUUGUUCGGAUUUACUGGGCGUAAAGCGCACGUAGGCGGACUAUUAAGUCAGGGGUGAAAUCCCGGGGCUCAACCCCGGAACUGCCUUUGAUACUGGUAGUCUUGAGUUCGAGAGAGGUGAGUGGAAUUCCGAGU
rnacentral:rRNA from 1 species